GUCUCCUUGUGCUGUACUGUUUGUCUUACAACAUUAAAUCAUUUACUUUGAAUGUUGCUUCUUCUUGGCAUUUUGUUCAUUGCAUAGUGUGAGCACUGCACUUUAUGUCCUCAGUUUUUGAGGAAGUCUUUUGUGAUCUUCUCAUCAUGUUUUCUUUUAAGCAACUGAUGGGACCUUUUAUGUUUUUUAAUUAAUCCUUUAUUUGAGCCAUUGUGCUAUGGCUUUACAACAAUUUCAAAUGAUAAUGGGAUUUGAUCGGGGGUGACAGUUGAUAUUAUACUUCAGAUUUGUUUGACGGUAUAUAUAUUUUUUAUUUUAAAGAAGGGCAAUGGUUGAGGUUGUUCCAGUCAAUUCUUCAUAAAUUAAUAUUUUUAUUUAGUUACAGUUAUGAUUGGGCAUGUGGAUUGAUAGA
rnacentral:misc_RNA from 1 species